UGCGAGUGCAGAACUCAAAAGCCAGCAAUAGUGUGUGCGUGUGAACACAGCACAAAGGCUUUCCCUCUGAUUCGGACUGCUGUUUUGCUUGAGUCAAGACGGAAACAUUGCCACACUCAGUGCCUGUUCACUCAGGAGAUAUUCACUCAUGAAGGUGUUGCCCUACUUAGCUGUUACUCACUUCACUGCAUUAGGCCUAAUGCCUACACCUCAGAGCAUUCACAGUUUGUAAUUGGUGCACAGUGUCUCUCAGACUGUUAAAGGUGUCAUAGGUGAUGAAGUGAUGUUACCGUGUUCAUUUGAACAGAACGAACACCUGUUAAAGGUUGUGUUUUGGCGGAACAAACUUGAAAAUUCGGUGUGUGACAUCAUUGUUGGUAAGGCUGAUUGCCAGGAUGAGGAUCAAGACUACAAAGGCAGAGUUAAAAUUUUUCCAUCAGGACCAAAAGAGGGAAAUUUCUCCAUCCGGCUGCAGAACCUGAAGGGAACUGAUGCAGGAACUUACACCUGCCAGACCCCUAGCAAAGACCAUAUACAUGAAAUAGAAUUGGUGGUGCAAGAGAAACAAACCACAACGGAGAGAGACAAACAAAUCACCAAACUGAAUACAGUCUCACCAACUAGUGAAUCCACAAGCAAGCGAGGAGAUGGUCUGUUAAUGCUCAUCCUGAUAUGCGCUCUACUCUGUAUAAACUUCUAAAUAUUUGCUUGAUGUUUUACAAAAGUAAUAUUAGCUAUGCAAAGUGCAUUGUACAAUUGUGUUACAUGUGCUGCAGCUUUAUAAGCACUGCGCUUGCUUUAGCACCUUACUGUAUUUAUGUUGGCUUGACACAGCUUAUAUACUAGGGACGGGGUUCAGCAGUCUGCAAUUCUGUAAUCCUUUUAACAGAGUUUUAGGAGUAAUUAAAUGUAGUGCAUUCGUUAUAACAUUAGUUUUUCCACUUGAAAACCAAGUGCAGCAUUUAAGCACUAAAACUAACUUCAAAUACAAGAGUUUAACAUUUAACCUCAAUUUACAGUAAAUUAAACACAAAGCUACACUGUUACUAAGCAACGCGUAUCUCAGUCAUCCACCAGAAUUAUUAUAUCUAAACUUGGCAAAUAAUUCACUCCUAUCAAAUGGGAUGAAUAUGUGUGAAUACUUUAGAGAGCACCACCUGUAUGAUCAUUAAAAAAAGGAGACAUUUGACCUCCUCAGAUGCCUUUAAAGCCUCAGAUGCCUUCAAAGGGAUGAAACUCAAUUUGACAGGGGAUCGUGUGGGUCGGGAGGGUGCAGGGACGAGGGCUGUGCGGCUUCUAACAUGAGCACGUAGAGCGUCUAAUGCAUGUGAAAUUUUGGUCUAUUUGCACUUGUGUUGUGAAUCUUGUGUAAGCAUGGAGGCUUUAUAUAUAUA